UUUCGCAGCGCUUCUUUUCUUUUCAACGCGGCGCGGCGCGGGUCUCGGGUCUCGCGUCCCGCGGGGCGUGGGUGCGUGGGUGCGUGGACGUUCCAAGUUCAAACGCGCGCUCUGUCAUUCGCGUGAGUCGACUUUUUUUCUCGUGAUUCAUCCGCGUCCGGCGUCCGUGUUCUCGACAGAGAUCCGAUGGAUGCAGAAUACGCGCCCCCGGACGAACGCGCGAUGAUCGUCCGUCGCCGCCGUCGCUGCCGCCGCUUUCACGUCGACGAUGCGAGCCCUAACCCAGGACACUCGGGCGACUUGGCGCAUUGUCGUCACGACAUUUAUGGUAAUACGUUAUGCGCAUUCCUACGCUGCCACGGCAUUUCGUUCGCGUGUGCGUAUUGUGACACGGCAACGACACGUAUGAGUCUCUUGACAAAAGGAAAAGUAUCUUAAAGCCAGUGGGUUUUGAAAAGGGCACUCACGAUUAACACGUUGAUUACCGCAAUAGUCAUUCAUAUUCCGAUUUUAUUUUUCAAUGGAAUCCUGGAUUUCUAAUGUGACCGGCUCUUAUUGAAAUCUUUUGAAGCACUUGUAAGAAGUUCAAGCUUCAAGGCAACAUUACCUGAUACCUCAGUUUUUGAGAUGCAUCAUAUUUUUUGUAUACAAGUUAUAUCUUUAUUACUGCAUUUCGAUGUAGAUUAUUAUUAUUAUCAUUAUUAUUAUUAGUAGUAGUAAUAGUAGUAGUAGUAGUAGUAGUAGUAGUAGUAGUAGUAGUAGUAGUAGUAGUAAAAUGGUUCUCGGUUUUUUAAAAGAAAAUAUUUCGAAAAUUACAUUAGCAAACAAAGUCGCAUAAUAAAUAGUUCGCAUUAAUAAAAAAGGCAAAAUGUAUUAAUUAUUAGCAAGCAAAUGUGACAUUUUCUACGAUUGUAAAUAAACAUUUAAUGAAUAUAAACAAACUUAAUUGUGGUGACAAAAUAUACAUUUCUGUGAAAUA